rnacentral:rRNA from 1 species
AAUUGCGUUAACGAACGAGUACCUUUAAUUAUUAAUUAGUUAAAUAUAUAGUAAUAUAUUAACUUUAAAAAGAAAGAUAGUAUUUUAUUUUUCUUUUCUCUGACUUCUUAAAAUAACAAUUGGUGAUUAACCAAAGUAAGUUAAAGGCAAUAACAGGUCUGUGAUGCCCUUUAGAUGUUCUGGGCUGCACGCGCGUUACACUAGAAAAUAUCAAUUAAGUUUUAUAUAUCCAAACAAUUAUAUUUUAUAUAUUUGUUUUGAUAUGUCCUUGAUUGAAAAAUUUGGGUAAACUUGAUAACUAUUUUCGUGAUGGGGAUUGAUAAUUGUAAUUAUUUAUCAUGAACGAGGAAUACCUAGUAAAACGCAAGUCAUUAACUUGCAUUGAUUACGUCCCUGCCCUUUGUACACA